UACGUAGGUGGCAAGCGUUAUCCGGAUUUAUUGGGCGUAAAGGGAACGCAGGCGGUCUUUUAAGUCUGAUGUGAAAGCCUUCGGCUUAACCGGAGUAGUGCAUUGGAAACUGGGAGACUUGAGUGCAGAAGAGGAGAGUGGAACUCCAUGUGUAGCGGUGAAAUGCGUAGAUAUAUGGAAGAACACCAGUGGCGAAAGCGGCUCUCUGGUCUGUAACUGACGCUGAGGUUCGAAAGCGUGGGUAUCAAACAGG
rnacentral:rRNA from 1 species